UACGUAGGGUGCGAGCGUUAAUCGGAAUUACUGGGCGUAAAGCGUGCGCAGGCGGUUCGUUGUGUCGGUGGUGAAAUCCCCGGGCUCAACCUGGGAAUGGCGAUGGAUACUGGGCAGCUAGAGUGUGUCAGAGGAUGGUGGAAUUCCCGGUGUAGCGGUGAAAUGCGUAGAGAUCGGGAGGAACAUCAGUGGCGAAGGCGGCCAUCUGGGACAACACUGACGCUGAAGCACGAAAGCGUGGGGAGCAAACAGG
rnacentral:rRNA from 1 species